UACGUAGGGUGCGAGCGUUGUCCGGAAUUACUGGGCGUAAAGAGCUCGUAGGCGGUUUGUCGCGUUGUUCGUGAAAACUCACAGCUUAACUGUGGGCGUGCGGGGGAUACGGGCAGACUGGAGUACUGCAGGGGAGACUGGAAUUCCUGGUGUAGCGGUGGAAUGCGCAGAUAUCAGGAGGAACACCGGUGGCGAAGGCGGGUCUCUGGGCAGUAACUGACGCUGAGGUGCGAAAGCGUGGGGAGCAAACAGG
rnacentral:rRNA from 1 species